rnacentral:lncRNA from 1 species
GUGGGGCAUAGAAGGAGGAGCUGUCAGGACUGGAAGGACAAACCCACUAAAGGACAAGCCCACUAGAGACACAAGCUUGCUAGAAGCUCUGAGCCUCAGCCAGGAUUCAGUCGAGGAGAUUCAGAAGCCAGAGAAGGCAGCUUAAGCUCUCGGAACCAACACUACAGAAGGCCUCUAAGAAAAACUAGCUGAGCCCCAAGUGAACGAGAUAAGACUCUGAAGGAGACAAGGAAAGGAUUUGGACUUUAACUCCUGCCUGCAUUUGGGCUUCUGGGAGUUAUAAAUGUCAGCUGCACAUUGCUAUGCCUGCAAAGCAAGGUUCAUGUCUUACUUCUGGUACAAUUUGUUUGAUCCCAAGCUCUUUGAUCCCAAGCAAGUACUUCAGCAUCACAGUGAUGUCAAACAUAGAGCCCACAGACAAUAUUCUGAACUGCAACUCACAACAAAUUAAAAUAUAGAAG